rnacentral:rRNA from 1 species
UACGUAGGGGGCAAGCGUUGUCCGGAUUUAUUGGGCGUAAAGAGCGUGUAGGCGGCCUGAAAGGUCAGCUGUGAAAACUCGAGGCUCAACCUCGAGACGUCGGUUGAAACCAUCUGGCUAGAGUCCGGAAGAGGAGUGUGGAAUUCCCGGUGUAGCGGUGAAAUGCGCAGAUAUCAGGAGGAACACCGGUGGCGAAGGCGGAUCUCUGGGCCAUUACUGACGCUGAGGAGCGAAAGCGUGGGGAGCGAACAGG